rnacentral:rRNA from 1 species
GCAUAUCAUAGCGGAGGAAAAGAAACCAACAGGGAUUACCUCAGUAACGGCGAGUGAAGCGGUAACAGCUCAAAUUUGAAAGCUGGCUCUUUUAGGGUCCGCGUUGUAAUUUGUAGAAGAUGCUUCGGGUGUGGCCCCGGUCUAAGUUCCUUGGAACAGGACGUCAUAGAGGGUGAGAAUCCCGUAUGUGACUGGGUGCUUUCGCUCAUGUGAAGCUCUUUCGACGAGUCGAGUUGUUUGGGAAUGCAGCUCAAAAUGGGUGGUAAAUUUCAUCUAAAGCUAAAUAUUGGCCAGAGACCGAUAGCGCACAAGUAGAGUGAUCGAAAGAUGAAAAGCACUUUGGAAAGAGAGUUAAACAGUACGUGAAAUUGUUGAAAGGGAAGCGCUUGCAACCAGACUUGCGCGCUGAUGAUCAUCCGGGCUUCUGCCCGGUGCACUCGUCUGCGCUCAGGCCAGCAUCGGUUUCGGUGGUGGGAUAAAGGCCUUGGGAAUGUAGCUCCCCUCGGGGAGUGUUAUAGCCCUCGGUGCAAUGCCGCCUACCGGGACCGAGGACCGCGCUUCGGCUAGGAUGCUGGCGUAAUGGUUGUAAGCGACCCGUCUUGAAACACGGACCAAGGAGUCUAACAUCUAUGCGAGUGUUUGGGUGUCAAACCCAUACGCGUAAUGAAAGUGAACGGAGGUGAGAACCCUUAAGGGUGCAUCAUCGACCGAUCCUGAUGUCUUCGGAUGGAUUUGAGUAAGAGCAUAGCUGUUGGGACCCGAAAGAUGGUGAACUAUGCGUGAAUAGGGUGAAGCCAGAGGAAACUCUGGUGGAGGCUCGCAGCGGUUUCUGACGUGCAAAUCGAUCGUCAAAUUUGCGUAUAGGGGCGAAAGACUAAUCGAACCAUCUAGUAGCUGGGUCCUGCCGA